CGAAGCCACAUGUGUUUCUGCAGCCUGACCCUCAUCUGAUGGUCUCCUUCAUUCAAGAUGGCACCAAAGGGGAAGCGCUGAACUACACAAAACUGUGCUGAUGAUGUCACUUAAUAAUAACCAUAAACAAUAAACCAUAGACAUUAAUGAGAGAGACUAAAAUAAAUGCUCGGGACUCUGAGGCGAACGAAGGCAGCGGAUUUUGUAAGACGUGUCUGAGAGCUCAGCGUCGAGUUGCUCCACAAGAAAGCGCAAACGUGGGCGAGAAAAAGGAAACAGAUCUGAGUGAGUAGUCGGAUGUGGUGCGAUCACACGCUUCAGAAACCAUCUGUAUCUCAACACCAACCGCAAAGCCUCAGGAACCCGAGCGGGAGGAGACGAAGCUGAAAGGAGCGACGAUCCUCCCAAACUACCAGCGCGCCUUAGCGUUAGCGUGCUAGUCUUAAUAAAAUAAAACCGUCCCUCGGGAAAUCAUCAACAUCAUCACAUUCAUACAUGCGAGUGAGGACGUGAGAGAAAGACAGGAAAUAACACACUUCCUGUUUAUUUCUAGGUUUUGCUAGUUAUCUGUAGGUCAGUGAAGUUGUUAUACAGUCUAGUUUAAACCAGUUUGUGAUGCUAACACUACAGUGAGUAACUUAAGCCCCAUUUCCCCUCCCCCCGUUACUGGGCGGAGUCAGACAUGCAGCCGUGUCAGUGUUAGUUAUGUGGUGAGGAGGUUCAUUUGCCUCCUGAACGUUAACACAGCAGGUUACUGCUAGCUAACAAGCUAACAAGCUAACAAGCGAUGACGUUUAUUUACUAACGUUUAUUCGUUUUUGUUGUUGGUUUCAUUUCAUUCAUAAUAAAGAGAGAGAAAGAAAGUGGACAAAGUUAACCAAAAAAAUAAUUCAAUAUUUAUUUGCUGUAUAAACAUGUCUCGUGUUGCUUUCCGUACAUCUGUACAACGCGUACGGACAAUUUCAUAUCCUUCAUGAAUCAGAACAAGAAAAGGUCACACUGCCCCGUGACCAGCCCACUUUAUACACAUUAUAUAGAUUGCAUCUUUAAAAAACAAACAAAAAAAAAACGUUUACAGCACAUAAAAAACCAGCGGAUCAUCAGGUAAUAGUGAAGCUGUAACACGACGCAGACGCAUUGUCAAAAAAUCCCUGAAAAAGUCCUCAGUGAGGUAAAGAUACACACCUUGUUAUUUACUCAUUUUUUUCUCUUCCUCUCUCCAAACUUCUCAUUUGUUUUUUGUUUUUUUUGUAGCUACAAUAAACGUUACGCAGAAACCGAAGGAUCUGCGAUGCUUCUGGCAAAAAUACAGAUGAAAAAUAUUUCAUGUUACAGAGACACGAACAUUCCUCA